UGGGGAAUAUUGGGCAAUGGACGCAAGUCUGACCCAGCAACGCCGCGUGAAGGAAGAAGGCUUUCGGGUUGUAAACUUCUUUUAAGGGGGAAGAGCAGAAGACGGUACCCCUUGAAUAAGCCACGGCUAACUACGUGCCAGCAGCCGCGGUAAUACGUAGGUGGCAAGCGUUGUCCGGAUUUACUGGGUGUAAAGGGCGUGCAGCCGGGCCCUUAAGUCAGAUGUGAAAUUCCAGGGCUUAACUCUGGAACUGCAUUUGAAACUGAGAGUCUUGAGUACCGGAGAGGUUAUCGGAAUUCCUUGUGUAGCGGUGAAAUGCGUAGAUAUAAGGAAGAACACCAGUGGCGAAGGCGGAUAACUGGACGGCAACUGACGGUGAGGCGCGAAAGCGUGGGGAGCAAACAGG
rnacentral:rRNA from 1 species